rnacentral:rRNA from 1 species
CCUACGGGAGGCUGCAGUGGGCAAUAUUGGACAAUGGGGGCAACCCUGAUCCAGCCAUGCCGCGUGUGUGAAGAAGGCCCUCGGGUUGUAAAGCACUUUCAGUGAGGAAGAACGCCUGGUGGUUAAUACCCAUCAGGAAAGACAUCACUCACAGAAGAAGCACCGGCUAACUCCGUGCCAGCAGCCGCGGUAAUACGGAGGGUGCGAGCGUUAAUCGGAAUUACUGGGCGUAAAGCGCGCGUAGGUGGCUUGAUAAGCCGGUUGUGAAAGCCCCGGGCUCAACCUGGGAACGGCAUCCGGAACUGUCAAGCUAGAGUGCAGGAGAGGAAGGUAGAAUUCCCGGUGUAGCGGUGAAAUGCGUAGAGAUCGGGAGGAAUACCAGUGGCGAAGGCGGCCUUCUGGACUGACACUGACACUGAGGUGCGAAAGCGUGGGUAGCAAACAGGAUUAGAUACCCCUGUAGUC